AGAACGAACGCUGGCGGCAUGCCUAAUACAUGCAAGUCGAACGAACUCUUCGGAGUUAGUGGCGCACGGGUGCGUAACGCGUGGGAAUCUGCCCCUUGGUUCGGAAUAACAGUUGGAAACGACUGCUAAUACCGGAUGAUGACGAAAGUCCAAAGAUUUAUCGCCAAGGGAUGAGCCCGCGUAGGAUUAGCUAGUUGGUGAGGUAAAGGCUCACCAAGGCAACGAUCCUUAGCUGGUCUGAGAGGAUGAUCAGCCACACUGGGACUGAGACACGGCCAGACUCCUACGGGAGCAGCAGUAGGGAAUAUUGGACAAGUGGG
rnacentral:rRNA from 1 species